AAUGAACGCUGGCGGCGUGCUUAACACAUGCAAGUUGGACGAGAAAGGCUGAUUUCGGUUGGCCGAGUAAAGUGGCGCACGGGUGAGUAACGCGUAGGUAACCUACCCUUGUAUCGGGGAUAACUCUGCGAAAGCGGUGCUAAUACCGGAUACGAUCCUGGGGCGGGAGUUUCGGGAUGAAAGUCGGCCUCUCGGAGAAGCUGACGUACGGGGAUGGGCCUGCGUCCUAUCAGCUGGUUGGUGGGGUAAGAGCCCACCAAGGCGUCGACGGGUAGCCGGCCUGAGAGGGUGACCGGCCACACUGGGACUGAGACACGGCCCAGACUCCUACGGGAGGCAGCAGUGGGGAAUAUUGCACAAUGGGCGGAAGCCUGAUCCAGCCAUGCCGCGUGUGUGAAGAAGGCCUUUUGGUUGUAAAGCACUUUAAGCGAGGAGGAGGCUCUUAAGGUUAAUACCCUUGAUGAGUGGACGUUACUCGCAGAAUAAGCACCGGCUAACUCUGUGCCAGCCGCCGCCGUAAGAC
rnacentral:rRNA from 1 species